AGGGUGCAAACGUUGCUCGGAAUCACUGGGCGUAAAGGGCGUGUAGGCGGGAAGGAUAGUCAGAUGUGAAAUCCCUGGGCUCAACCCAGGAACUGCAUUUGAAACUCCCUUUCUUGAGUGUCGGAGAGGAAAGCGGAAUUCCUGGUGUAGAGGUGAAAUUCGUAGAUAUCAGGAGGAACACCGGUGGCGAAGGCGGCUUUCUGGACGACAACUGACGCUGAGACGCGAAAGCGUGGGGAGCAAACAGG
rnacentral:rRNA from 1 species